rnacentral:rRNA from 1 species
UGGCUCAGAACGAACGCUGGCGGCAGGCUUAACACAUGCAAGUCGAACGCCCCGCAAGGGGAGUGGCAGACGGGUGAGUAACGCGUGGGAAUCUACCCAAUUCUUCGGAACAACUGAGGGAAACUUCAGCUAAUACCGGAUGUGCCCUUCGGGGGAAAGAUUUAUCGGAAUUGGAUGAGCCCGCGUUGGAUUAGCUAGUUGGUGGGGUAAAGGCCUACCAAGGCGACGAUCCAUAGCUGGUCUGAGAGGAUGAUCAGCCACACUGGGACUGAGACACGGCCCAGACUCCUACGGGAGGCAGCAGUGGGGAAUAUUGGACAAUGGGCGCAAGCCUGAUCCAGCCAUGCCGCGUGAGUGAUGAAGGUCUUAGGAUUGUAAAGCUCUUUCACCGGUGAAGAUAAU